rnacentral:rRNA from 1 species
UACGUAGGGUGCAGGCGUUAAUCGGAAUCACUGGGCGUAAAGGGUGCGUAGGCGGGUCUUUAAGUCAGGGGUGAAAUCCUGGAGCUCAACUCCAGAACUGCCUUUGAUACUGAAGAUCUUGAGUUCGGGAGAGGUGAGUGGAACUGCGAGUGUAGAGGUGAAAUUCGUAGAUAUUCGCAAGAACACCAGUGGCGAAGGCGGCUCACUGGCCCGAUACUGACGCUGAGGCACGAAAGCGUGGGGAGCAAACAGG